GACGAAGGGGGCUAGCGUUGCUCGGAAUCACUGGGCGUAAAGCGCACGUAGGCGGAUCUGUAAGUCAGGGGUGAAAUCCUGGAGCUCAACUCCAGAACUGCCUUUGAUACUGGGGAUCUCGAGUCCGGAAGAGGUGAGUGGAACUCCGAGUGUAGAGGUGAAAUUCGUAGAUAUUCGGAAGAACACCAGUGGCGAAGGCGGCUCACUGGUCCGGUACUGACGCUGAGGUGCGAAAGCGUGGGGAGCAAACAGG
rnacentral:rRNA from 1 species